GAAUGGCUCAUUAAAUCAGUUAUCGUUUAUUUGAUAGUACCUUACUACUUGGAUAACCGUGGUAAUUCUAGAGCUAAUACAUGCUGAAAACCCCAACUUCGGGAGGGGUGUAUUUAUUAGAUAAAAAACCAACGCCCUUCGGGGCUUCUUGGUGAUUCAUGAUAACUUAACGGAUCGCAUGGCCUUGCGCCGGCGACGGUUCAUUCAAAUUUCUGCCCUAUCAACUUUCGAUGGUAAGGUAUUGGCUUACCAUGGUUUCAACGGGUAACGGGGAAUUAGGGUUCGAUUCCGGAGAGGGAGCCUGAGAAACGGCUACCACAUCCAAGGAAGGCAGCAGGCGCGCAAAUUAUCCAAUCCCGACACGGGGAGAUAGUGACAAUAAAUACUGAUACAGGGCUCUUUUGGGUCUUGUAAUUGGAAUGAGUACAAUUUAAACCUCUUAACGAGGAACAAUUGGAGGGCAAGUCUGGUGCCAGCAGCCGCGGUAAUUCCAGCUCCAAUAGCGUAUAUUAAAGUUGUUGCAGUUAAAAAGCUCGUAGUUGAACCUUGGGUCUGGCUGGCAGGUCCGCCUCACCGCGUGUACUUGUCCGGCCGGGCCUUCCUUCUGGAGAACCUCAUGCCCUUCACUGGGCGUGUUGGGGACCAGGACUUUUACUUUGAAAAAAUUAGAGUGUUCAAAGCAGGCCUUUGCUCGAAUACGUUAGCAUGGAAUAAUAGAAUAGGACGUGCGGUCCUAUUUUGUUGGUUUCUAGGACCGCCGUAAUGAUUAAUAGGGACAGUCGGGGGCAUCAGUAUUCAAUUGUCAGAGGUGAAAUUCUUGGAUUUAUUGAAGACUAACUACUGCGAAAGCAUUUGCCAAGGAUGUUUUCAUUAAUCAGUGAACGAAAGUUAGGGGAUCGAAGACGAUCAGAUACCGUCGUAGUCUUAACCGUAAACUAUGCCGACUAG
rnacentral:rRNA from 1 species